GCCAGUAUGGCACAGUUGUUUGAGUGUUGGACUAUGACUCUGGAGACCAGGGUUUGAUUCCCUGCUCAGCCA